rnacentral:rRNA from 1 species
UACGAACUGUGCGAACGUUAUUCGGAAUCACUGGGCUUAAAGGGUGCGUAGGUGGGCUAGUAAGUCCGUGGUGAAAUCUCCAAGCUUAACUUGGAAACUGCCGUGGAUACUAUUAGUCUUGAAUAUUGUGGAGGUAAGCGGAAUAUGUCAUGUAGCGGUGAAAUGCGCAGAUAUCAGGAGGAACACCUAUUGCGAAGGCAGCUCGCUGGGACGUAACUGACGCUGAGACGCGAAAGCGUGGGGAGCAAACAGG